rnacentral:rRNA from 1 species
CAGGUAGUUGGUAGGGGUAACGGCCCACCAAGCCAGCGAUCAGUAACUGGUGUGAGAGCACGACCAGUCACACGGGCACUGAGACACGGGCCCGACUCCUACGGGAGGCAGCAGUAAGGAAUAUUGGUCAAUGGACGCAAGUCUGAACCAGCCAUGCCGCGUGGAGGAUGAAGGUCCUCUGGAUUGUAAACUUCUUUUAUCUGGGAAGAAAUGCAUUUUUUCUAAAGUGUUUGACGGUACCAGAUGAAUAAGCACCGGCUAACUCCGUGCCAGCAGCCGCGGUAAUACGGAGGGUGCAAGCGUUAUCCGGAUUCACUGGGUUUAAAGGGUGCGUAGGUGGGCAGUUAAGUCAGUGGUGAAAUCUCCGGGCUCAACCCGGAAACUGCCAUUGAUACUAUCUGUCUUGAAUAUCGUGGAGGUAAGCGGAAUAUGUCAUGUAGCGGUGAAAUGCUUAGAUAUGACAUAGAACACCAAUUGCGAAGGCAGCUUACUACCCGAAUAUUGACACUGAGGCACGAAAGCGUGGGGAUCAAACAGGAUUAG